UCCAAUUGGCAGUUGAAGAAAUUAAUCGACGUUUAAAAGUUGAAUGGCCAGCCACGUGACGACGUAAUAAAUUUAAAUCCAUAGAUUCUCUUCCUCCUGAUGAUUGGUGUUAAUGGAUCUAUGACCACCACCCAUGUGAUAUGCCCAUCAGUCACUAUUUGAUAUUCUUUGUCACCAAACCUGUUUCUUCAGGUUGGCGUGAAUGGAAUUUCCAGUAUUGGGAUGCUUUCAACAACAUGAAUGAGGUAAUGGCUCCUGAUGCGCGAACAUUCUUAGCCAUGCCAUGCUCAUUGCGUGGCUUAAAACAACGCGGCCCUUCUAAACCCACACGUAUCGGAACUCAUGCUCAAUCUCCGAUGUGCUUCUUUGGGAAUAUCUCCUGCAAGGUAGAGCUCCCAAGCCCACCUCGAUCACGAGUGAAACAUGAAAUUAAUGCUCCAUCUGUAAACUACUACUCCUGCUACAUGCGAUUUCCACAGCCACUACUCCAAAACUAAACGUGUCCGAUUCUUUAGUACUGGCCAUAUAUCCGUUCAUUUGCAAGCUCUGGCGCCAAUGACACAAGUCCCUACCGCACAAGUUCUACGAGUCCUCAACCAGGGUUUCACCAACGUAGCAACCCCAAAAUCACCAAGCUUAGUGCUGAAUUCUGUCCCCAACAGUACGUUGGCAGACGAUGUCUCAAUGACGACACAUUACAGCUCCACUUCUUCAUGGAGAUCAUGUAAUGAAGAGCUGAGGCCGAACUUUUACCUAUCCUGCAUCUGGCAGUUUCUUCAUUGCCAAAGUGCAGGGUCGAGGCUGCCAGUAGGCAUAAACUAGCAAGAAUUGGCCUUGCUCAUGACUUAGUCGGGCUGCACCAGGUUUCGAUUUAUUAGGCGACAUAUUAUCUUCACAUCGUUGAUGAAAAUUGAAAGUGUUCAGGUUCAGCGAAGAUUCUCUUCACAGCAACCCGGCGGCCUCCUAAUACACUCUGUAGACUUGACCAGCCCCUCGUCCCAGGCAUCUACCAUAGGAAAAAUCUUCGCUGCGGCUAGUUCUGGGCAAGAAAAUUUCCUUGGCAACGCUCCUCUGGCGUUUCUCAACAUUUGUACUUACGGAGGAGUCUGAAUUCUGAUCAUUUCCAUGGCUGUGAUCAUUAAUAUCAGUUCUCCUCCUCUUCAGAACCAACCAGCCGAUGUCCGCUGGAAGCAUCACAAUCAUGAAACUCGCAGCAACAGACGUCAAAAUUAUCCUCUUCAUUUUGCUGAAGCUUACCUUCAAGGAAUUUAAAAUUUUGUCAAAAUCCCAUGAACGAACAGAAUGCCGCUCAAGAUUCGAGCCUGUAGAAGCCGAGAAAUCAAUCUUCACACAGUGGGGACAGAACUUCUUUUAGAUCAACCUUGCAAGAAAGAGAAGAGUUACCAUGAAAACAAGGUUUUUCAAAUAAGUCCACAACAACCUGAGGUUCUUGGUUGAAGCUUAGUAAGUUUUCCACUUUAAGAUAAAUUUUUGGCUGGGUGGCUAUUUCACCGCAUUGUAUUCCUAUUUUUCCCGCAGACCAACAUUCGAAUACAGUAAAAUUUAGCCUUGCAUUCCCGUAAGGCCAAAUUGAUCAACGUUGGACCA